rnacentral:rRNA from 1 species
GACGUAGGGGGCCAGCGUUGUUCGGAAUUACUGGGUGUAAAGGGUUCGUAGGCGGUGCGGCAAGUUGGGAGUGAAAGCCCUCGGCUUAACCGAGGAAUUGCGCUCUAAACUACUGUGCUUGAGGAACCUAGGAGGUGAGCAGAACUGAUGGUGGAGCGGUGAAAUGCGUUGAUAUCAUCAGGAAUACCGGAGGCGAAGGCGGCUCACUGGGGGUUUUCUGACGCUGAGGAACGAAAGCCAGGGGAGCGAACGGGAAUUAGACGUCCCCGUGUAAGUCCAAGACCCAAG